CCUACGGGUGGCAGCAGUAGGGAAUAUUGCUCAAUGGGGGCAACCCUGAAGCAGCAACGCCGCGUGGAGGAUGAAGGUUUUCGGAUUGUAAACUCCUUUUGUUAGAGAAGAUAAUGACGGUAUCUAACGAAUAAGCACCGGCUAACUCCGUGCCAGCAGCCGCGGCAAUACGGAGGGUGCAAGCGUUACGCGGAAUCACGGGGCGUAAAAAGCGCGUAGGCGGGAUAGCAAGUCAGAUGUGAAAUCCUAGGGCUUAACCAUCGAAGUGAAGUUGAAACUGGUAUUCUAGAGUAUGGGAGAGGUAGGUGGAAUUCUUGGGGUAGCGGUAAAAUCCGUAGAGAUCAAGAGGAAUACUGAUUGCGAAGGCGACCUGCUGGAGCAUAACUGACGCUGAUGCGCGAAAGCGUGGGGAGCGAACAGGAUUAGAUACCCGGGUAGUC
rnacentral:rRNA from 1 species